CUCCGAACUUCUACCGCAAGCGAUCUACUCCGAGCUUCUGCUACAAGCGGUCUACUUCAAAUUUCUACUACGAGCGGUCCGCGUCGAAUUUUCACUGUAAGCCUUCACCCGAGCUCCCAUUGUGGAUGCAUUCCUUCCGGAUCUCCAUUGCAGGCAGGCUUUGAUCGAGUUCUCUCGACAAAUGAUCCCCAUCCAGGCUUCUACGAAGAUCGGACUCUGACCGAACUCCUGUAGUGGAU
rnacentral:lncRNA from 1 species